CCUGCGCAUGCGUGCCAGCGCCCAUGCAAAUCUGCUGUACAUCCAGAGAGCAAAGUGGGAUGAUCUGUCACUACACCUGCAGCACCACGUUCCGAGGACAGCUCCUGCUUGCUGCUUCCAGACCCAGGUAAAAAGGCAAACAAACAAACUGAGCGGGCACCGUGCAUGCAUAUGAAUACCAGGUCGCAACCUAUCCCCUGUAGAGGCAAUCUGCUGCUGCUGCUAAGUGUCCUUUGGUGGCUGAUUGCAGUUUCAAGGUUUAAGAAAUCCCAUCUUUCAGGAAGCCUGAGGGGAAGAAAGGAAGUACGGGCGAAAUCAUCAGAUUGGCUUCCCGGGUUUGGGAAUCUGAAGCGGGCCCGCAUCUUCCGGCCAACUUCCAUUGAACUUCCCAGCACUCGAAAGGGACCGAAAUGGAGAGCAAAGUUAGUUCUGGAUGAACAAAUCGGAGAGGACAGGAAGGAAGGAAACAACACUGGGCUAGGAGUCGGGUGAUCUGGAGUCUGUCCUGGUGCUGCUCAGGACUCACUGACUUGACGUGACCUUGGCAAAGUCACUCUACCUCCUGCAUUUCUGUUGCGUCAAUGGUAAUAUGAG
rnacentral:lncRNA from 1 species